rnacentral:misc_RNA from 1 species
AACGCACGAGACCUGCGGACCUGCGGAGGGAUCAUUACUGAGUGAGGGCCCUCUGGGUCCAACCUCCCACCCGUGUUUAUUGUACCUUGUUGCUUCGGCAGGCCCGCCUCACGGCCGCCGGGGGGCUUUCCGCCCCCGGGCCCGCGCCUGCCGGAGACAAUCUUGAACGCUGUCUGAAGAAUGCAGUCUGAGCGAUUAAGCAAAAUUAGUUAAAACUUUUAGCAACGGAUCUCUAGAUCG